rnacentral:rRNA from 1 species
GACAGAGGCCUCGAGCGUUAGGCGGAAUCACUGGGCUUAAAGCGUGUGUAGGCGGAGUCGUUAAGUGCCGUUAUCGAAAUCCGACGGCAUCACCGUGGAAACUGCUUGGCAUACUGGCGGUCUUGAGCAACCUAGGGGCGAGCGGAACAAAUGGUGGAGCGGUGAAAUGCGUAGAUAUCAUUUGGAACGCCAAUGGUGAAAACAGCUCGCUGGGGGUUUGCUGACGCUGAGACACGAAAGCCAGGGGAGCAAACGGGAUU